AUUGAACGCUGGCGGAAUGCUUUACACAUGCAAGUCGAACGGUAGAGGGGGCAACCCCUCGAGAGUGGCGAACGGGUGAGUAAUAUAUCGGAACGUGCCCAGUCGUGGGGGAUAACAUAGCGCAAGUUACGCUAAUACCGCAUACGAUCUAAGGAAGAAAGCGGGGGAUCGCAAGACCUCGCGCGAUUGGAGAGGCCGAUAUCAGAUUAGGUAGUUGGUGGGGUAAAGGCUCACCAAGCCGACGAUCUGUAGCUGGUCUGAGAGGACGACCAGCCAAGAUGGAACUGAGACACGGUCCAGACUCCUACGGGAGGCAGCAGUGGAGAAUUUUGGACAGUGGACGCAAGUCUGAUUCAGCCAUUCCGCGUGCAGGAUAAAGGCCCUCGGGUUGUAAACUGCUUUUGUACGGAACGAAAAGGUCUCUCUUAAUACGGGGGCUCAUGACGGUACCGUAAGAAUAAGCACCGGCUAACUACGUGCCAGCAGCCGCGGUAA
rnacentral:rRNA from 1 species